CGCGCCAGAUUGCUCUCCCCUGCCGAGACCUCCAAAACAGAAUCGCACCAACCCCGUCGGGCUCCUCGGCCUCCCCUUAUGCAGACUCCUCACCCCUGGGCUAUAAAGAAAUCCGAGCGCCAUGCCCCCUGCUCACCAGAACAGAACCAAGAACACAGGAUAUCUCGAUACCAUUGCAGGAGGGGAUGGAUCACCAUGGGAGAAAGUGGGGACGCCGCGAGCAGGAUUCGUUGAGCACGACAUCGUGAUUUCCGGUAACAACCCCUCCCAUAGAUUCUCUUUGAGCCUAGCUUUGUUUUGAUGUGUUUCGCUUAGAGCACCGGGCACCGUAUCGGCAACGGACCAAUCACCGGUGAAGCUCUGUCGUAUGGGGGCGGCGACGCCGCUGCUCUGGUCGUGGCGGGCAAGGGGGAAGUGCCUUAAACGUGGAUUAAAGGAUGAACGGUUGAGAUUAGGCCUGUGCAUACCAUUUUGUGGGGUGAUCUGAGCUACUGAUCGAUGACGGACGAAUGAGAUCUAAUCGGGGAGUCUGUUAAUUCCUGCUCGUUGAUUCGGGAUAGCACAAGUGAGAUCGAAUCUCAGCUAUUUUUAAUUGCGAUCGUAGAUCUCGGAUCUGACGGCUUGUUUAGCGUACCAUUUCGGUUUAUGAAAAUUUUAAUCUUGACCGUUGAAAGUCGCCUAUAGGGGGGUGGAUAGGCGAAUCCUGAAAAUUAUAACUUUACACCCCAACUAGAUCCCUUGCUUAGUGGUUAGAACAAGACACAAAAUUAUCGAAGUAUAAAAACUAAGUCCUUUGCUUGCAAUGGGUAUUGUAUUCAAAGAGUACGGAAUUUAAUUAAUAACAAUACUACUAGAGAUGGUGGAGAAUAAUGCAAGAGGGCUUAAAUAAGAAGAGUAGCACAAGUUCUUUCUUGCAAGGAGUUGCUUCUCUAAAUGUGAUUUUAACUUGAAGCAACACAAAAGGAUAUUAACAAAGAGUAGCGCAAGAGAACUUAGAAAGAGAGAGAACAAACAAAUCACAAGCAAUAAACACACGAGACACGGGUGAUUUGUUUUACCGAGGUUCGGCCCUCGAUGGCCUAGUCCCCGUUGAGGAGUCCACUAAGGACGGGUCUCUUUCAACCCUUUCCCUCUCUCAACCGAUCCCCAAGAUCAGCGAGCUCUUCUUCUUCUCAAGGAUCACUUAAGACCCCGCAAGGAUCGCCACACACUUAGGUGUCUCUUGCUAGCUUUACAAGCCUCCAAAACUUUGGAGGAAGUUCAAUGGGAGUCAAAACUCCACGCACAAUGAACGCAAGAUGUAGCACACACUUUCUCUCAAUGAAUCUCACAAGGCACUAGAGCUAAACUCUCACAAGAGGCUUUCUUUUGCUUGCUCUCUCUUUUGUGGCACUUGUGUGGUUUGUAGUGGUCUAAACCUUGUGUAUAGGAUGGAUCAAUGAAUAGAGGUGGUUGGGAGGGCUUGAGUAUGUCAACUAUGUGACUUGGAAUGUUGCUUGGGCUCCCUUCCUCUUGAAGUGGCCAAUUGGGGUGGUAUUUAUAGCCACCAACCAAAUUGUAGCCGUUGGAGAAGGCUGCUGGCGAUGGGCGCACCGGAUAGUCCGGUGCACCACCGGACAGUGUCCGGUGCGCCGCCACGUCAUCCUAUCGUUAGGGCUUGGAGCUGGUCGACCGUUGGAGGCUCUGUCCUCAUGUGGCACCGGACAGUCCGGUGCCCCUCUGACCAUCUGCUCUGACUUCUGCCGCGUGUACUGUUCUGCACUGUUCACUGUCAGAGUCGACCGUUGCGCGCAGAUAGCCGUUGCUCCGCUGGUGCACCGGACAGUCCGGUGGCACACCGGACAGUCCGGUGAAUUAUACCUUCGUCCAUGGCAUGCGAUAUCCCUUCGUCGUGCCCAGUUUGCAUAAGAGCCCUUGGGUUUGUUUUAAAUAAACCUGUCGUCCACCAUAUUCAAAGAACAUAGCAACUAGGUCUUGAAAUUUGCAUGUGACCCCCUGAGCUUCUAGAAAAUUGUGGCCGCGGCCCAAAGGUUAAUAAAAUGGGUAAAAUUAAUAAAGAAAAUGAUUUUUCGUAUAAAAAUAAUUCCAGAAACUUGUUUAAUUCAUAAGUAAUUCAUUCUAACUCCUUUUUUUAUCCAUUCGAGUUGCAUUAAAUUCAUAAUAAUAUUGUUUAUUAUCUGGUAACCUUAUUUUGUCAUGAAACAUAGAAUAAAAUUAUGCACUUAGUUUAUUCUAUAUUAAACACUUAAAUCUUCAGAAAAUCAUAAAUCUUUAACCGUAACUCCGAAUUUAGUGAUUCUCGAACCUGCGAUCUAGUUGCGAAGCAAAGAUCAUUAUUGUACAAUUUGUUUCUAUGUUUGGUGUGAUGUUAGUUUUCCCUAUACCAUGUUUGUUUGUAUUGCUAUGAUUAGCAGCGAGGUUACGAGAAUCUUGAAGACCAAGCUGGUACCUAGGAAUCUUGAGUCCCAGGCAAGUUAUGCCCUUGAUCACUUUUCUCUUUAUCCAAUAAUGUUUCGAUUAAUCACUGUGACAUGCUCAAGUUAAUUUGAAGGGACCUAAUAGGUUUCCCUAGAUCUGUUUAUCCCACACCUUGUUUACCACUGAACUUUUGGGUAGUUUUGCUAUUGCUCUACUAGGCGAUUAAUGUUACAUUAUGACCAUGUUCUAGUUAUUUUAGUUAUUGUUCUUGACAAGAUCAUUGUGUUAAUUAAUAUUCGUGCUACCACAAGGGUGGAAUGGGAUGCCCUUGGCUAACUAAUUAGUAAAGCUAGUGGAGGACUACCUUACGCGAAAGGGGCAAGGGCGGUAGAGGAGCUGUGUAUAGGGAGGUUCUCGGGUCGAUCAUGCUGCGAAGGCUUUUCGGAUGAGGGAUUCCUAUAUUUCCCUUCUCAGAAACCGUAGCGGGUUUUUUGAAGCUAGUGGAACUUUGUAAAGGCCUCAUAGUGCUACCCUGCCUCGUCUCCUUAGCAGAGAUGAAUGGGUAGUCGUGAUCCCUUAGAAAAUGGGUAACACGACUUGUGGAUAAAGGGUGCAACCUCUGUAGAGUGUAAAACUAGUAUAUCAGCCAUGCUCAUGGUCAAGAGCGACUCAGGACUCUCGCAUGAUUAAUCUAUGGAACUAAACUUAAUUUUUUCAUAUGCAUUGCAUUGUGGGUGUUGUUAUUAAUUUUGAUCCCUUACUUAUUUGGGUUGGUAUCUACUUAUACUUAGUAACUGCUAAUAAAACUUUGAUCAACUUUAAAAGCAAUGCUCAGCUUUAACCAUCUCCUUUGGUAAGCCUUAUACUUCACAUGAGCUCCCACCUUUGGUGAGUUCAUGCACAUUAUUCCCUGACAACUUGUUGAGCGAUGAACAUAUGUGAGCUCACCCUUGUUGUACUCACAUCCACCCCAGGUCGAGAACAGGUACCACAUAAUGAGGCGCAUGAAGGAAUUCUACGAUGAGUUCGUGAGUGGUCUAGGUCGUCGUCUCCCAGUCAACUUUGGGUUGCUGGAUCAUUGUCUUCGUAUGAUGUAAUUAUUUAACUAUUUUGUACAGAACUGUGUUAUAUAUUAAUGAUGUGACAUUCAUUUCUGUACCAUGAGUCAUCAUAUGUGUGAGACUUGAUCCUAGCACACUUGGUGAUUAGUUCGCACCCGAGUUUUGGUGCCUCUGAAACCCGGGUGUAGCAGAAGUGGUAUCAGAGCAAUGUUGACUGUAGGACGAAACCUAGACAGAU
rnacentral:lncRNA from 1 species